ensembl:lncRNA
GUAUAAAUGAAUUUAUAAAUUUAUCAUCUGAUCAAAAUGAAAGCUCUGUUUCCAUUGGUCCCGUGGUCAAAUACUACUGGAAGAUCCUACUUCAGCUCAGCAGUCAAAAAGCACGAGAGAGCACCAGAAGUGGACAGCAAUCUCCAUCUCUAGAAAGUCAAUCCAUUACCAGAGCAGCAGCAAACACUCCUACCAUCAAUACACACAAGACACAGAGCACCUCCAUGACCAACGUCCAAAAAAACACCUCAAGUACCCCAGCUUCAACUCCCCACCAUGAGAGAGAGUCCACUGCAGGCUCCUGUGUGUCUACUCACGCCGUGAGCUGUCGGAUGGUAGAGUCGGCCCCGGUGCCCUGUGAGGCCUGUGCUUGUGUUCAGACGGUGAUGAAGGAGAGCGGUGAGGCUUUAGUGUCACUGUCCAGUCUCUGGGUUUGCCUGGCUCCAUGCAGGGAUUCCUGGCAGCUGUGGAAAAUAACGCAGCAGAUGGGCCGCUUGUCUGCAUGUGACAUUUCCCAAUUGGCAAGUAAGAGAAACUGUUGAGCUGCUGAAAAAGAAGAUGAAAAAGACAGAGAUGGAGUGAGAGAAGCUAAGACAACAGCUAUCAGAGACGCUCAAAAGAGAGAAAGAGGAGAGGAGGAAGAUGGAGGAGGAGUGAGAGCACAGAAUGCAGGAGGUGAAAUCCAGGAGAGAGGAAGCAGUGUGACAUUGUUAGAAGACCAAAAUUCUGAACUCACAGCAAAACUGAAUUUGCAGACAGAAGCAAAACAGAGGCUUGGUGAGCAGAACAUCAUCAAGCACUGGCCACUGGAAUGAAGUGGAAUUAAAUGCCAUAAAAAGCUUUGAUCUGGACAGCAUUAAAACUGCAUAAAUGUUCAUGUAAAUGCAAUAAUCUGUCUUUCUCAUAGCAAUUAGUAAACAUAUGGAACAAACUAGAAAGAGUUUAAAUUUUUUUUUAUGUCAAUGACACUUACAGAAGUGAGUACACCCCUCACAUUUUUGUAAAUAUUUUAUUAUAUCUUUGCAUGUGACAACACUGAAGAAAUGACACUUUGCUACAAUGUAAAGUACUGAGUGUACAGCUUGUAUAACAGUGUAAAUUUGCUGUCCCCUCAAAAUAACUCUACACACAGCCAUUAAUGUCUAAACCGCUGGCCACAAAAGUGAGUACACCCCUAAGUGAAAAUGCCCAAAUUGUGCCCAAAGUGUCAAUAUUUUGUGUUGCCACCAUUAUUUUCCAGCACUGCCUUUACCCUCAGUCCUCUUCCUCUCCUCCAUGACAACAUCACUGAGCUGGUGGAUGUUAGAGACCUUGCGCUCCUCCACCGUCCAUUUCAGGAUGCCCCACAGAUGCUCAAUAGGGUUUAGGUCCGGCAAAACCUGGAGAAGGAGCUCAGGUGUCCACAGACACUGCUGGGCAAAGAGAGCGCAAAGAACCAUAGUGUGCAACGCCAACAUGAG